GAGAGGUAGCGGAGACUGGGGCAGAAGGUAGGGGGGAAGAGGUAACCGCUGGCCCCAAAGAACGCACAGACGCUCUGUGCGAGGUUGGCUAGUAUGUCUGAAUUCUGAAUUGCAGGCUGUGCUCGCUGUAACCAGAGUUGGGGGAGGAAGCUCCACCCUCUCUCUGGCUGUUAGGGCUGUCUUUCAUGCCAGAAGAAAGCCUGCACAGUCAGUUUCUCCUCCUCUCUGCAAUCUCCCUGACUGUAGGUUGGUUCCUGUCAGUUUCAUGUGAACGCGGACAGGUAAGCGCAUGUGCGGCGGGUGGGGAGGAGGAAGGCAGAACUACAGGUCCAUUGGACCCUUGAUUCCAUGUUAUGUGUGAAUGGGACCACUGGAAAGAGACUAUGAUUCACCAAGUAGGGACAGUUACUUUCCCACUGCUACAUAUAAGGAAGACAUCUCUUUAAAAGGUGCCUCAUUAACCUGCUUUCUAUGAGCAAAAUAAAAUCUGCAGAAUUAGAAAAGAGAAGAAAUCUUCUCUGCGAAUAGAUUGCCACAUAUGAUAUAUACAUUCAUGUAAUCAUUACAUUUCCAACAGUAUCCAGUCACCGUGCUAUGAAUUCUCAUGUCUCCUUGGAAUAAGAUACCAGAAAUGUAUUGAUGUAUAAGUUUUAUCUAAAAGAAAUGUUAUCUGAAAGUUGUAUAUUUUUACAUUUCCAUUGUUUUUCAGUUAUAGUGGUCUGCAAAUCAGUCUCCCAUUUCGUUUAUAUCCAAUAUUUUCUGUUUCUGGUUUUAGAAGUACUCUGUAUAUUUCGAAAACAACAUCUUUUUUUUUUUUUUUGCACCUCUGGAUUCUAUAACAGCUUUCAAACUUCUGUUGAUCAGCUGAGUUCAACUGUACCUAAACACUAAGAGGGAGUUAACCCUUUCCGGCUCCUCAUUUGGAAGUAUGCUGCCUCUUUUAUCAAGCCACUGAUACGUGAUGAGCUUCUUGUUUUGAGAGCAAGGGAUCUCAUUUAUCAAAGGGUGUGAUCUCUUAUGCUUGGCCAUGUGCUAUAGUACUCACCUAGGAGCACAGGCCUCUGCUGUUUGGCAUGCCCUUAGACUGUGAUUGAUCUUUACAUUAGCAUUCCAAUCUCCAAAGUGUCUAUAAGCAUACUGUAGGUACGAAAUGCCACAAGGAUUUGUGGAGGGGAGCCCCAAACCCUGUACCAAGGGCACUAUCCAAUAGAGUGGGUAUUGGCUCCAUCAUUCCAAUAAAAAUUAUCUCUCCCUCACGGAAGAUCAAAAAUCGCCAGGGAACCCGUCCACAUGGACAAUAAGAAGUCAUGAAUUCAUCAACAACUAGAAGAGCCCAAAGCAGCAGCAGAUAUUAGGCAUUCUGGGGAUUUCAGAAUAGCUGGAAACCUGCAUGAAAAGCAUCUUGGGACUGGCAAAGUGAGUGAUGCAGAGUGAGAGUUCUAUUCAGAGAGGAAAACAGGAAAGAGGAUAUCAAGAAGUAAACAGAUUAACGGAUAUCAGGCAAAGACACCAAUCAUGCAGAUCCAAAUUAGAAUUUGGUUUUUAAAUGGCAAGACAUUUCCCCCUGUUCACGGCUGCAGACUUAGCAAGGCACCUUUCAAAGUGACGACUCUCUUAUAUUUAGCAAGGGGAGAGCAAGUGUCCCUAUCCAACUCCAACACAUCAUCCCUCUUGUGGUUGUUGCUGGUGUCUACCUCAUAUGUCUUUGUAGACUGUUUGUCCUUUGGGGAUGUUUUAUUUCUUUUUCUAUGUAAACUGCUUUGGGAACUUUUUUUUUGGUUGGAAAGCCAGCGUGGUGUAGUGGUUAGAGUGCUGGACUAGGACCGGGGAAACCCAAGUUCAAAUCCCCAUUCAGCCAUGAAACUAGCUGGGUGACUCUGGGCCAGUCACUUCGCUCUCAGCCUAACCUACUUCACAGGGUUGUUGUGAAAGAGAAACUCAAGUAUGUAGUACACUGUUCUGGGCUCCUUGAAGGAAGAGCGGGAUAUAAAUGUAAUAAUAAUAAUAAUAAUAAUAAUUGUUAUUAUACAAUAAUGAAUGGGAUUCAUGCAAUGAGGAGAUUAAUCCCUGCCAGCCACUGGGGCAUUGUUUUACAAGACACUUGGUAGAUACUACCCCCCUCAGAACUUUUCUGCUAUUGAUCUGCCUCUUUCUAAUGCUGGAUCCUCAAGGGAUCAUCUUUGCAACUCUGCCUCAGGCCUACCCUGCCAGCAUUCCAUCCAGGAGAGCGAGACCACACUCUGCUUGUCUUUCUUUCUCUUUCUCCUUCAUUUAUUUGGACUAGGGCCAUAGUGUAAACCUUGUAUAUUACAGUGCCUGUUGUGAGUCAUUUAGCAUUAUACCUUCAGUCACAAAAUCAUGGAUAGAAGUGCAGUUCUGCUGCUAUGGGGAAUGCAUCUGAUUUCCUCCUAGUUCUUGGUUCUACUUGUUUGCCUAUGCCAAAUACUUCAAGCAUAGACAAAGGGAAACGCCCAGACCUAACUGAAUCCUUAUAUUCUGGGAACCAGCUUCUAUCCCAGUGGUGGUUUAUGAAAGCAGAGUUCGCAACUGGAGAAAAGGCCUUUAUGUUGGUAGACCUAUGAGCUUUGGGCAUUACAACUGUGGCAUACUAAGGAGCAGCAGGAAGAGUGUUAUUUUGUCUGUGCUGCAGAGACUACAGAGUCCAGGGCAAAAUACACACAAAUAGUGCAGGAACAGAAGCACACGUGUUGCAGGCCAUGCCAACUGAGGUGUAACAGGUUAGCAAACAACUAGCUCUUAUGUAAAGCUAUAAACCAGCAGCUAAAGUUCAGAAUUUGUAUGUCUGUAGAAGAACCCAGGGCACAUCUCUAAAAAUAUCUCUCUCUGUGUGUGUCCCUGUAGUCAAAUCUAAUAGCUCAUAUCUCUUGGGAUGUUUACAUGAUUUGGUAAUGAAUGUAGAAAAGAAAUAAUUAGAAAGGAAGGUGCAGAUACUACUAGUGAUUAAAAACAACACCCCUUUGGUACAAUAUACAGUGGUAGGGAGGCAGAGGUAUCAACAAGCUAAUUUUAAAAGUAGGUAACAUUCCUGCAGAAGGAAAUAAUGAGAUGCCCCAAGUAAGAAGGUCAAACUCAUUAAUAAAAACACUGGCAAGUUUUGCUCUAGGUGAAGAUGGUGGCAGCCAAGCUGUGAAUGGCUUGGUUUUUAAAUGACAAGAUACUGGAUCCUGUACUGAUCUGAUAGUUAAUUAGUGUUUCUGCAGAUCCAUGUAAACAACCUUAAUAUUUAUACCUUUGAAAUUCUGAGGGUGAUACCAGCUAGCUUGUUGCUGGGCUGUGCACAGAACCGUACAAAAGAACACGAAUGCACCCUAUUUCCCCAGAUGGAGGCAGCCCUUCAGAAUCAUUUUCUCAUUAUUUAUUCAUUUCUGUGCCACUUUUGUCCUGGGGUAUUUGAGGUGCUUAGAACCAAGUUAAAGCAACAGCAUGCAAAAUAUAGAAACUAAACCUAAAACAAACAUCAUAGCAGACUACAGCUACCAGUUUAGAGGUCCAUAGAGUUGGAGGGGACCUUGGAAGCCACCUAGUCCAGUGCCCUGCUCCAUUCAGGAAAUCCAGAUCUAAGCAGCCCCAACAGAAGCCUGUCCAAUCUCUGCUUGAAGACCCCCAGUGAGCAAGAGCCUUUCACCCUUCAUUGCUGGACUCCUCUUGCCAUUACCAAGUUUCUCCUAAGGUUCAACCAAAAUCUACUACAACUAGAUUUUAGUCUAGGUCUUAUUCAUAUUCUAGUUCUGCCCUUGGGGGCUGCAGAAAACCAUAUUUGCUCUCUUCUAAGUGACAGCCCUUAUGGCUUUUAGGAAUGCCACCAUGUUGCCUGACACCUUGGGAAAUACCCAAACUUAAAUACCCAGUUUCUUCAAUUAUGUUCACAUUUGGGUUUCUGAAUGCUAGAUAGAUAGAUAGAUAGAUAGAUAUCCAAAAAUUGAGGAAUUAGCAUCUUAAACAUUGCAAAUUUUCAAUAGACAUUAAAGGAGGGAAAUAAGUUUAUUUAUAUUAACGAAUACACUGGCCAUAGGAGUAAUGGAAAUUUCUGUUUUUGCAAAAUACCUUGAAUAUGUAUGCCCUUACCUCCGUUUAUUAUUUGCAGACAUGUGCACUUUUCCUGGCAGGUUUCAAAGCAGAGUCUGAAAUGACACAUGCAGUUUAUUAGGGCAGCAGAGGCGGCACUAGAAAAAAAAACAAAUUGAGGGAGGGGACAGAAGGGGUAAUGGGCAUUUCGGGUUGGGUGCAGUAUGUCCCACAUGUUAGAUUUCUGAAAUGGGGGGAGGCAAUUGGGGGGCAAAAUACAUGUCUGGAGUAUUUUAUCCCUACAGGGUAUUUAUGGAUCUGACCACAGUUAUGAACACCUGGUUGGUUUCUAGAAUAGAGUACUGUCAAGUGGUGUCUCUUUAUUUAGCAGGGGGAGAGCAACUGGCCCUAUCCAUCCCCAGCAAAGCAUCCCUUCAGCGGCUGUUGCUGGUUUCUGUCUUAUGUUUCUUUUUUAGAUUGUGAGCCCUUUGGGGACAGGGAGCCAUUUUAUGUAUUUAUUUAUAUCCAUGUAAACUCUAUCUUUGGGAACCUUUGUUGAAAAGUGAUAUAUAAAUAUUGGUCAUUAUAUCUGUAACAA